GGCGCUCGGGGGGCACCCCCAGCCCCCGCCCGCCCCCCCCGCCCCGGUCGCCCCGCGACCCCUUCGCUGAGUUGUAUCAACUCCCCCAGAGCCGCCUCCAGGACGCCUUCCGCCAAGCCGGAAGCCAGCGCGCCCCGUCGUUCUGAACUAAGUCUGUGACGCGACUUGCCCCCAGUAUGGCAUAUUGUCAUUGUCACCCCGGCCCGGAGCCGCCGUCCCCCCCGGCCCCCGGCCGUGCCCCCUCCCCCCGCCGCCCCCCCCCGGGGCCUUUCGUGCUAAUUUAACUCGUAACGAGUCUCUAAGGUAAUUGGGGGGGGGCUGGUGGCCCCCCCCUCCCCGAAACCCGGACGCCUGGGGCCCGUCCCUCGUGUCCCCCGUCCCCGCCCCCCACUCCGGGACCCGUCCCCAAAUUUUGGGUCAGUGGGGUGGCUUGGACCCACCUGUAGGAGCCUGUGGCCCCCCCUUCCCCCCUCCCCCCCCGAGUGUCCCUGUCCCUCGUCACCCACCUCGUCCCUGUCACCCGCCCUGUCCUCGUCCCCCACCUCGGGGUCUGCGUUUUUGGCAGAGUCCCCCCCAAAAAGUCUGUAUCCCCCCCCCCCAUGGGUGUUGUCCCCCCAUGUCCCCAACCCAAGGGACCGAGGCACGAUGUGGCUUGAUGUCCCCAAUGUCCCCAACGUCCCCAAUGACCCCGGGCUGAGUGAUGUCCCGAUGUCCCCAACGUCCCCAACUCACGGGGCUGAGGCACAAUGUGGCUCGAUGUCCCCGGUGUCCCCAACCCAGGGAGUGGGGACAGGCCAUGACCUGAUGUCCCCAAUGUCCCCAGUCUGGCGCCAGUUACCCCAAAGCCAUUGGGCUGGGACAGGUCAUGGCUCGAUGUCCCCGAUGUCCCCAACACACCCCAAGGGACUGUGAGACAUCAUGGCCCGAUGUCCCCAAUAUCCCCAACCUGAGGGACUGAGACACAUCGUGGCUCAGUGUCCCCAAUGUCCCCGACACCCCCAGUGCCCCCGACACCCCCAGUGUCCCCAAAGCCCCUCGAUGUCCCCGAUGUCCCCCACGUCCCCCCCCGCCAAGACGUCGAGAUCCGUCGCGGCGCGACGACACCGAGCCCGAGGGACGGAGACUCGUCACCGCUCGACGUCCCCGAGGUCCCCGAGGGCCACGGGCACCCCGUCACCGCUCGAUGUCCCCGGCGUGUCCCCGAAGGACGAGGACACCACCUGAACGGACUGAGACCCGUCCCGGCCCGAGGGACAGAGACAACCUGUGACUGAUGUCCCCAAUGUCCCCAAGGGACGAGGGACCCGCUCAUCACCCCGGACUGAGAGAUUGAGACACGGAGUGGGCCGAUGGCCCCGAUGCCUCCGAGGAUGUCCCCAGUGUCCCCGAUGAUGUCCCCGAUGUCCCCAACCCAGCGGACUGAGACCCAUCGUGGCCCAACGUCCCCAAUGUCCCCGAUGUCCC